UUUCCGUAGGUGAACCUGCGGAAGGAUCAUUCAUAAUAAAGUGUUUUAUGGCACUUUUUUAAAUCCAUAUCCACCUUGUGUGCAAUGUCAGGGUUGGUCUCUUUUGAUCAGCCCCAAACAUCAACUAUUAUCUCAACUCUUUGUCUGGAAAAUAUUAUGAAUAAAACAAUUCAAAAUACAACUUUCAACAACGGAUCUCUUGGCUCUC
rnacentral:misc_RNA from 1 species